rnacentral:rRNA from 1 species
UGGGGAAUAUUGGACAAUGGGCGAAAGCCUGAUCCAGCCAUGCCGCGUGUGUGAAGAAGGUCUUCGGAUUGUAAAGCACUUUAAGUUGGGAGGAAGGGCAGUAAGCGAAUACCUUGCUGUUUUGACGUUACCGACAGAAUAAGCACCGGCUAACUCUGUGCCAGCAGCCGCGGUAAUACAGAGGGUGCAAGCGUUAAUCGGAUUUACUGGGCGUAAAGCGUGCGUAGGCGGCUAAUUGAGUCGGAUGUGAAAUCCCCGAGCUUAACUUGGGAAUUGCAUUCGAUACUGGUUAGCUAGAGUGUGGGAGAGGAUGGUAGAAUUCCAGGUGUAGCGGUGAAAUGCGUAGAGAUCUGGAGGAAUACCGAUGGCGAAGGCAGCCAUCUGGCCUAACACUGACGCUGAGGUACGAAAGCAUGGGGAGCAAACAGG